UACGGAGGAUGCGAGCGUUAUCCGGAUUUAUUGGGUUUAAAGGGUGCGUAGGCUGUUCGUCAAGUCAGUGGUGAAAUGCCGGGGCUCAACCCCGGAGCUGCCAUUGAUACUGUCGGGCUUGAAUCCUGCUGCCGUGGGAGGAAUGAGUAGUGUAGCGGUGAAAUGCAUAGAUAUUACUCAGAACACCGAUUGCGAAGGCAUCUCACGAAACAGGCAUUGACGCUGAGGCACGAAAGCGUGGGGAU
rnacentral:rRNA from 1 species